GCCUGCCUAGCUCAAUCGGAUAGAGCGUCAGACUCUUAUACGGAGUGGCGGGAUCAACCAAAGCUUCUGAUAUCUGAAGGCUGCGAGUUCGACCCUCGCGGUGGGCU
rfam:Hypholoma sublateritium FD-334 SS-4 unplaced genomic scaffold scaffold_151, whole genome shotgun sequence.